ensembl:lncRNA
GAUCGCGGCUGAACCUUGACUGGAGUCAUUUACAAUCCAUUCUAAACUCAGCCACUAUCUGCACACACACAGUCAAACGCUAUACUCAGCCACUAUCUGUGCGAGUGUGGUCAUAUCCAAGCUUUCAGCACACACACACACACACACACACACACACACACACAUACACACACACACACACACACACACUCAGACAAAUGCUAUACUCAGCCACUAUCUGUGCGAGUGUGUUCAUAUCCAGGCUUUCUGCACACACACACACACACACACACACACACACACACACACAGACAAACGCUAUACACACUAUCUGUGUGAGUGUGUUUCUGCACAGUGCCAUUUCAGGACAGUUAGUGGAAGGGAGCGUGGAUUUGACUUGAACGUAACGCAGCGCUCAUCUGUGUCAGCUCAGCGUGUCCUAGUAACAUUUCAGCUUUUCCGACCAAUCAGUGGGGUUAAACUCAUAACAGGGCAGGACAUCCGAAAUGACAACAAGGCAGCUGAAAAUCAAUUGUCACCUAGCAACCAGAUAUAACUUAUAACUAAAGAAUUAUUAUGCUUUGCCACUGCCACUUAGUUAUCUCCCAUGUGAUCCCCGCCUCACUGCGCACAGAGUAGGAACCUAUUUGGACAUUCUAGAACUUAAAAGAGCUCACAGUCAGUGAAGAUUAUCAUUCAAUCUUUAUUAUAUUACUGGUAUAUGUUAUAGUUUGCAUCUCUCACAGCAACUGUCCUAAAAUGGCUUUGUAGAUAUAACCCUGUGUGUGUGUGUGUGUGUGUGUGUGUGUGUGUGUGUGUGUGUGUGUGUGUACCUGCUCAAACUGCUUUCUGCACUAAUAUCCCCUUCCUUCCUCCAUUCUGUAGGUAUGGCUUUCCCCACGAAAGGCUAGAAGGAUCCUUACUGAGCUCUCAUCCCAUCUGCCACACACACACACACACACACACCAACACACAUACACAUACAGUACAUAGGUAUACUGACAUAAGGACACAUAAGACUGUGCUUUGAGUUUCUCUGCUGCAUUAGACCAGUGUACCUCACUGACAAAUGACUGACCAAGACUCGGCAUCAGUUAUUUACCUUCACCUGUACCCCGAAACACACACAAACACACACACACACAUAAACACGCUGUAUUUGUUGCCUGCUACCUACACGUGCGCACACACACACACACACACACACACACACACACACACACACACUCUAACUCCUCACUGUAUGCCUUUCAUUCUGCUUGACCUGCUUGACUAACCCCUCUCCCUUUAUAAAAGUGUUUCUCCUUUUCUGCAUGUGUGUCUAAACACUUAGCAACUGGAAGUUGCAAUUAAUCAGUGUUAUUACUCAAAAGCAGCUGGCCCUAGUCUGGCCCUGGUCUGGCCCUGAUCUGGCCUGGGUCUGCAGGGGCAGCUGUUGUGUGGGAAGCUGGGUUACAGUGCCAAUCUCCUGGUCAGCUCACUUGACUAGCCAAGCCCCUGCCCCCUGUGUCUGCCCAUAGGCUCGUCCUCUUGUCCAUCAAACGGUUGCCAAGAUGUGUUCCAAGUGGCUUCGACCACCCUGUGUUUUUUUUUAAAUGAUUAUUAUUAUUUCCGCUAAGUGCUACGAUGUGAAUUUUUUACAGCUCAAGUGUGCUAAACCUAUAAAAGAGAAAAGUAUUAUUUGUGCCUUAAAUAUGUGUGUUUUUUAUCAUGUACUUUCUAUUGUUUUUUUUUUUCUCCAUCAUUUGUUAAUGUCCACAGUUGGAUCACUAUUCUGUGGGAGCCUCCUGGUUGGAUGAACUGAUUUAGAUGACUUCUUUCCGUGUUGUUUUUUUCAUCUGUGGAGACUGUUACUCUGCUUCUGCGUCUCUGAUGAAUUGUAAUGAACAGUCUGAUUGAUGCUAUGAUAACCGAUGAUGAUGAUGAUGAUGUUUAUGAUGAUGAUGAUGAUGAUGAUGAUGAUGAUGAUGUCGCUACUCCCUAGCAGGUGCGGUGGCGGCUAAGAUUAGGAGGCACGACCUGCGUGUCCACCCCUACCAAAGGGUUCUGGCCGCAGACCGAGGUUAGUUUAGCGUCUGUCUUCCUCACCCAUGCCUCAGAAAGAAUGAAAAUGAAAACAAAAAUACAUAAACAAACAAACAAACAAACAAACAAAUAACUGGAAACAGAGAGAAACUUUGACCCGGAACCUAAUGAAGAAAGUUCUGUUCUGAAAGUUCCAAACUGUUACUCUGUAAUGAAGCUGUAAUAACGUUGGACUUUAGUAGACACACACAUACUCAGACACACACAUACUCAGACACACACACACACACACACACAUUAUUUGGAUGGCUGUGAAACAGGAUGGCUGUGAACGGAUGCUUAUGACCAGUAAUGGACGUUUGAAUUUCAUCGUGUGUUUGUCUCACUGGACACACUCGGAUGCAGACACAUUCCACAACCAGGUCACACACACUCCCCUGACCAAGCCUAUCAUCUGUGUCGACCAGCUCUAUUGCACUCAACCAAACUUAUAGUC